rnacentral:ncRNA from 2 species
UAUUCAAUAAAUUUGUUAAGUAAGUUACGGAACAUGGUGAAAAUCCAUGACGGUCCCGCCGCUGUAACCGGGUAGAAGGCUCAAUUGAACCACUGUUAUUGAACAUAUCAGGUAUCAUAAUGGGAAGGUUUGAGUUUUUGGUUGAUCCGGAAGUCAGAAGACGACUUAACAAUACUGAAUUAA